CCUCAAACACAUCUCCAAAGUUAGCUCAGAGCUGGGUGGGUCCUUUUCUGACCUGAAUCUAAUCAGGUUAAUGAGACUGCAGGUGGUAGCACUUGCUAAUCAGUGCUUGAAGCUACAAAGGGGGAAGCUCUCAGGUCUACUUGUGUCUAAAAAUAAUGAUAGGUGGACAUAGGUGUCUCCUUGAGAGAGUCAGAGCAUCAUCUCAGGUGGACUGGCAGAGGUCUAUGAACAUUUGCUUGGAGAAGACAAGCAGAGAAGAUGCUUCACCUUUCAAGGUAAUGUAACCUGAACUAUUAUGGCCACACACGGUCAGCAACAACUUGUUGAAGACUGAAUACAACUGCGAUGAUUGAAGAAGUGACCUGGAGGACAAUGGUUUUUCUCCUUCAAGAAGCCACCAGUGCGACAGCAGCAGUAUCGAGGCUUAUCAUGACAGCAUCUGAGCACUUCUCAAAUACCCAUGGAUGUUUCUUCAGAGAAGUCUGAUGAGGAUGGGAAAAGAGAAGGUCUGAGGUCCUGAGGCAUAAAAACUAGGACCGGUUUCUGGUUUAGACCAAGGAAGAAAAGGAAAUGUCCCAGCUCUUGGCAGCUGUGGAGACCCCUCAGCUGAGAUCCUGGAAGCACUAAAACCUCAGAAAGAGAUGGGGACAAUGAAGACAAAGUAUGAAGAAACAAAUAAAAUCUUCAUCAGCAGAAAAACCACACGACACCCACAGCCUUCGGGAGAAGCCCCCAACCCAGAGAACGGACACAAAUCCCAGACUGCAGAUGUGACAGUAAACGUCAAACUUGCCUAAACACAAAUACAAUAAUAAAAACAUUUUAGGACUUUUAUGUAAUAAA